rnacentral:rRNA from 1 species
AUCCACCCGGUAUUCCAUGUCUCCCAGCUCAAGCCUUUCACCCAGGAUUACACUCCAGUCUUCGCGGAGUUGCCUCGAGUGCCUGACCUCACUGGUGGAGAAACGGAACCCAUGGCCAUCCUGGAGCGGAGGAUGUUGAAGAAAGGAGAUGCACCUGUCGUGCAACUGCGUGUUCAAUGGGCCAACAUGCCGCCAUUAGCCACCACUUCGGAAGACUACGACGUCCUUCGCCAGCGCUACCCAUCAGCCUGCAUCUGGGAAGGAGCUCCAUCUCAAGGGGAGGGCAAUGUCGCGCCUGCUGAUGCUGAUACAACACCAGCAUCAGAUUGA